UACGGAGGGUGCAAGCGUUGUCCGGAUUUAUUGGGCGUAAAGGGCGCGUAGGCGGUCUUGUAAGUCAGCUGUGAAAGCCCGGGGCUCAACCCCGGAGGGUCGGCUGAUACUGCAGGACUGGAGUACGGAAGAGGUAGCUGGAAUUCCCGGUGUAGCGGUGAAAUGCGUAGAUAUCAGGAGGAACACCGAUGGCGAAGGCAGGUCGCUGGGACAUAACUGACGCUGAGAAGCGAAAGCAUGGGGAGCGAACAGG
rnacentral:rRNA from 1 species